rnacentral:snRNA from 11 species
CAAAAAACCAGGAUGUAUCAUGAUCACAAAGGUGUUUUCCCCGGGCAAGGCUUAUUCAUUGCAGUCAGAUGCGCUGACCUCUACCACGUCACCAAACUUAGAAAGUUUGGCAUCAUGGUCUGUGGCAAUGGGGGACUGUGUUCACCUCUCCCCA